rnacentral:rRNA from 1 species
UGGGGAAUUUUGCGCAAUGGGCGAAAGCCUGACGCAGCAACGCCGCGUGGGUGAUGAAGGUCUUCGGAUCGUGAAACCCUGUCGUCGGGGACGAAGGUUUGGGCGUUAAUAGCGCUUAAGCUCGACGGUACCCGGAGAGGAAGCCCCGGCUAACUCUGUGCCAGCAGCCGCGGUAAUACAGAGGGGGCAAGCGUUAUUCGGAAUUAUUGGGCGUAAAGGGCGCGUAGGCGGCUUUUUAAGUGAGAUGUGUAAUCCCCGAGCUCAACUUGGGAACUGCAUCUCAUACUGGAAGGCUAGAGUACUGGAGAGGGUGGUAGAAUUCCACGUGUAGCGGUGAAAUGCGUAGAGAUGUGGAGGAAUACCAGUGGCGAAGGCGGCCACCUGGACAGUAACUGACGCUGAGGCGCGAAAGUGUGGGUAGCAAACAGG